UACGUAGGGGGCUAGCGUUGUCCGGAAUCAUUGGGCGUAAAGAGCGUGUAGGCGGUCCGGUAAGUCGGCUGUGAAAGUCCAGGGCUCAACCCUGGGAUGCCGGUCGAUACUGCCGGACUAGAGUUCGGAAGAGGCGAGUGGAAUUCCCGGUGUAGCGGUGAAAUGCGCAGAUAUCGGGAGGAACACCUAUGGCGAAGGCAGCUCGCUGGGACGUUACCGACGCUGAGACGCGAAAGCGUGGGGAGCAAACAGG
rnacentral:rRNA from 1 species